rnacentral:misc_RNA from 1 species
UUAAGUUCAGCGGGUAGUCCUACCUGAUUUGAGGUCACAUUAAUGAAAAUUUGUCCAAGUCAAUGGACCUAUUAGAAGCUGAACCUGCUUCACGUCAAUAGCGUAGAUAGUUAUCACACCAAUGAACGGUCAACAAAUUGUUCCGCUAAUGCAUUUCAGGGGAGCCGACCUCAGAAAGAGAGACCAGCAAAAGAACCCCC